rfam:Heligmosomoides polygyrus genome assembly, scaffold: HPBE_scaffold0009476
CCAACGGCCCUCUUUAGGGCCACAAUUGCUCCAGCUACGAAUCAG